rfam:Environmental sequence 2662324_fasta.screen.Contig40763, whole genome shotgun sequence.
GUCAUUGCAAGGUGGCCGCGCGAAAGGGCGGAGGCAAACACUUGGCCGCAGGAAUACGAACGAGCAGUGAGGCAGGAAGUCGCGGGCGAGCGUGCGAGUAAACGCAAAGCCCAAAGCCAUCGAACGGCUUUCUGUAGAGCUCGGCGGCGUGAGUGGAAGGACCGGGCG